rnacentral:tRNA from 1 species
CAGAGAAUAGUUUAAAUAAAAAUUUUAGUUUUGGGAAUUAAAGAUAAAGAUUAAUUUUCUUUUUCUCUGA